CAGAUAGCACUGAACGUCUUGCCGACGUUGGCAAUUGGAGGGCACCAGCGGCAAAGUAUCGGGAGGGGAUUUUCCCCUGCACAACAAAAAACUUUGGUGGGUAAACCAUCGGCGGGCCGCGGGAUGAAUAGCCACUUUAAAUGCACAACUCCGGAGAUCGGUGGAGGAACCGUGAUGAACCAUUUUGCCGAUCCCGCUUCUAUUUUUUUAAAUAAAUAAUAUCUGCGCAACCGUUGGUCCACAUCAAGACCUUCACGCGCGUGCACACGUUUUUAUGACGGUGCGCUAUGCGCGUGAGUGAUCUCAGCAUCGUCUACACUACAGCCUACAGCUAAGUCUACAGCAACGGACUCUGAGCUACAUACACCCCAAAGGCUCUUUUCAGAGCCCAGGCCCAUUUUGCACAGCGUCUUUGCCUUUGUACAGUAAGUAUGUGUUUUAAUUGACCUCAAAGACAACUGAAACACUAUCUUUAACUAAUCUAGUUAAAAGUUAUUUUGCACAUGAUUUCCAUUACACGAGAGUAGAUGUUAAAACUUCAUGCAGAUUUGUACUCGGCUUUCGCCAAGAUUAGCACAAACUAAGACGUAGCUUUAUAGUAAACUAUGCUUCUCCAUCCAUUUACACUUCUUUCCAUAUGUUGGUGUGACUCCCCUUCUGUCCGGCAUUACGGCUGGAACUACAGUAUGGUCUUCCCAGUGGACCAGCACCACAUCCAUCUGGAUUGAGACGAGUAGGGGACAUCUCUAGGGUCUUCACAUAUUGAUACACACACCAUUGCAACUUAGAUCACCAUCACCACCACCAUCCCCUGCAUCAGACACCCUAAAUCGUGCCCUUCAUCAGACACCCUACAGUAAAUGCACCACAAACAACACAGGCAAAGAAGAAGAAAACGCACGACAAAUCUCCUCCAGCCCAUCCCACAUCAUCGUAUAGUAAAGUGACGCCGCCGGAUAAUAAUGACGGCCUGUGUGCUUUGCAGCCUUUUCCAGGGAUCCUUCAGAGGACUAACAAUGGUGCUGUGUUAAGAAAUCCUACCCAACAAAAUUCCACUGAGGCAGAUGUAGAGAUGACUGCGAGAAACUGGCUGCGGCUGAGGAGGGACAGGAAGCAAGAGGGCGAGCAUCUUAAAGUGAAAUAAUUGAUUGGACUGAUUUUUCCUGUUUACCUAUUUUGGAGGGAAUUUCUUUUUGUUGUUGUUGUACUUUUCUAUGUGUGAUUUGAUGAGUGUUAAAAUAAAUGAUACUGCUUUUGCAAAAACAAAAGUAAAAAAUAAAUGUUCAAGGUCA